CCUACGGGGGGCAGCAGUAGGGAAUCUUCCACAAUGGGCGAAAGCCUGAUGGAGCAACGCCGCGUGGGUGAAGAAGGUCUUCGGAUCGUAAAACCCUGUUGUUAGAGAAGAAAGUGCGUGAGAGUAACUGUUCACGUUUUGACGGUAUCUAACCAGAAAGCCACGGCUAACUACGUGCCAGCAGCCGCGGUAAUACGUAGGUGGCAAGCGUUAUCCGGAUUUAUUGGGCGUAAAGGGAACGCAGGCGGUCUUUUAAGUCUGAUGUGAACGCCUUCGGCUUAACCGGAGUAGUGCAUUGGAGACUGGGAGACUGGAGUGCAGAAGAGGAGAGUGGAACUCGAUGUGUAGCGGUGAAAUGCGUAGAUAUAUGGAAGAACACCGGUGGCGAAAGCGGCUCUCUGGUCUGUAACUGACGCUGAGGUUCGAAAGCGUGGGUAGCAAACAGGAUUAGAUACCCUUGUAGUC
rnacentral:rRNA from 1 species